rnacentral:lncRNA from 1 species
UAUAUCCAGAGUCAUAUUCAGGAUGCAGGGAGAUCGAAGGAUCGAAUUGCACGGUAACUUUUCACUGAAAAUAUUUUCAAUAUUUUUAUUAAAAUUUUAUAUCUUUUAGAUAGUAUGAUAUGUUACUAUACAUCAAUCUUAUCUUGUAGGUUUGAUCAAAUUAAAGAGUUUAAUUUGAUCGUCAAUUAGAAAGAGUUCUAAUUGCUGAAAUCGGGUUAGCUUGAUUGGAUCU